GCUUACGGCCAUACCACCUUAGGCACGCCCGAUCUCGUAUGAUCUCGGAAGCUAAGCAGGGUCGGGCCUGGUUAGUACUUGGAUGGGUGACCGCCUGGGAAUACCAGGUGCUGUAAGCA
ensembl:rRNA 5S_rRNA 5S ribosomal RNA